rnacentral:rRNA from 1 species
GAUGAACGCUGGCGGCGUGCCUAACACAUGCAAGUCGAACGGAAGCAAAGAUUUCGGUUUUUGCUUUAGUGGCGAACGGGUGAGUAACGCGUGAGGAGCCUGCCUUUCAGUGGGGGACAACAGUUGGAAACGACUGCUAAUACCGCAUAAUACUUUUGAGUGGCAUCACUUAAAAGUCAAAGAUUUAUUGCUGAAAGAUGGCCUCGCGUCUGAUUAGCUAGUUGGUGGGGUAACGGCCCACCAAAGCGACGAUCAGUAGCCGACCUGAGAGGGUGACCGGCCACAUUGGGACUGAGACACGGCCCAAACUCCUACGGGAGGCAGCAGUGGGGAAUAUUGCACAAUGGGCGCAAGCCUGAUGCAGCGACGCCGCGUGAAGGAUGAAGUAUUUCGGUAUGUAAACUUCUAUCAGCAGGGAAGAAAAUGACGGUACCUGACUAAGAAGCCCCGGCUAACUACGUGCCAGCAGCCGCGGU